rnacentral:lncRNA from 1 species
AGAAAAAAAGAGCAGCAGUUGGAAAUGAUGUAGAAUCUGGGGAGAGACCUUUUAAAGAAAGGUGAUAUCAAGGCUUGUUUGUGGACUGAGAAUGAUGUGUGAUCUUGGAAGUCAGCUUGAGAAUGGAGCAGUCAAGACACAAAUUGGUUGGCAGGUCAUGAUCAGCAUGAGAGGAAUCUCUAUCCUGCUUCCAGGCUAUCCUUGGCACUGUGAUUUUUAAUAAAAUAAUGCACUGACUUUGCAUUCAAAGAAAUUACUGGACAGUCAAAAUAUACACACAUAUGCAAAAAUUGAGGAGCAAUUUCCCAUAAGAUACAAACCUUGGAAAUCAAGAAAGUUCUGGAAUGAUGAAGCUGUUCAUGCCAAGACCGAAAGUGCUGGCCCAGUAUGAGUCCAUUCAGUUCAUGCCGUGACAAUUUUCUUGGAACUCCUUUUUAUUGCUUGUGCUCCUGGUACAUCAGCCCAUUUCAUGGUACGUUGAAGCAUGCCUCCCUGUGGGAUUGCUGGAUUCCCAGCCCAGUGAGGUAAUGACCAAGCAGCGUCUUCAGAGGAAGGAUAGCUGUACAGCGUGGUGAAGGACUCAAUGAGAAGGUGCAUUGCCCAUCCUUCAGAGAGCUCUGUGUGAAUCCAUAAAAGGUGCUUAAAGCUUUUCACUCCAUGAAGCCUCAUCUGUCUCAUGAAAGCAAUAAAUGUGACAAUUGUAAACUAUAGCCAAGUUUAAAACAUUAUUUGAAGGCACUGAAGAAGGAAGAAAUGCAGGCUGAAUGUGGAAUAGAGUCAGCCUUCAACAAAGAAAACUGCACUGUAUGUAAAUGGAUUUUGCAGGGUGUUUC